GCCGCCGAGCCGAGUUCAGUCGGUCCGAGUUCGGCGCCGCGUACGGUACGUUGCGUCGCGCUGUCGUUUCGCGCGCGCGCGCGCGAGAGCAUCAGCCCGUCUCUCAUCGCCAGCGCGUUCUCCGCCCGCGUCGCGUGCGCGUCGUCGUAUAUACAACAUUGUCCUCUGCCUUGUCUGCCCGUCAGCCUGCCUGCCUGUUGGUCCGUACGCACGCCACGCGGAAUCGCGGUCACCGGGUCGAAUUUCGGCAACCGGGUUCGGGUCUCGCCCGCGCGCGCGUCGCCGGACCAACGCGCCCCUGCGUCGGUCCCUGCGUCUCUUCCUACGUCCCACGGCGCUAUGUCGCGCGUAGGUUGCCGGCCGCGUCGUCAGUAGCGGCAGCAAGAUCGUCACUCGUCGUCGUCGUCGUCGAUCGCGCGUCUCUCGAAACGGUGGCGGAAACUGUGCGGCUGCCCUUGGACGACCGGAACCGGCGAAAUGAGGUGUCCGGCAAACCAGCGCGCCCAGUAACAAUGACAAUGACAAGAAACUGCUCGAUCAGUCGUGAUUUAGAGUGAUUCCGGGAAACGUUUAAACGACGACGAUCCGUCUGGCCGGUGAAGGAUUGUCGCGAGAUCAAUCCGGAUAUCGUGCGAGACUUGGAGAGAUCAGCGCGCCCGCGUGCGCGCAUAAAAGGAAAGACUCGUACACGAUCAUGGUGUGACUCGUGUGCGCGUCCGACAGGAAUCCGUCCAAAAGAUCAACGCGGUAGUCCGGUGGUUGUGUGAUUCCGGUAGUGAUCGGUUGUGGUGCUGGUGCUGGUGGUUGAUACGCAGCUGCGAGUCGGAGGCCUGUUGGUGCCUAGGCAUCGUUCUCAUCGGUCUACUCAUGCUGGGAGUGCUGAAGCGGCGCUGGAAGCCAUCGAAACGGGCUUCCAGCGGCCGCGGGCCCGACUCACCCCUCAGCUCGGAUCUGGCACUUGACAAGCCUCGCCCCAUACCAUCACCCAGGCAAAUCCACCCCUUGUACGGGGAGAAAGCUGGUCUCCUGGGGUACUGCGACACUGUCGGUAACACGGAAAAUUUUCCACCAGCCCCCAACAUCGUCGUGGAGGGUGGUAGAAUCGAGUUUAUGCGCCCUUCGCAAGAUGGCACGACGACACCCCGGAGGAACACCAUGUCAAGAGGUUCGCAGACCUUUAACGAGCAGCCAGAGAAGUCCGAUCCUGCCAAGGAGAGUCUGGAGGAGCGCGUGCAAGAGCUGGAGCAAGCGUUGCUGGCGGAACGUCUCGCGGCACAGCGAGACCGAGCGACCAUCACAAAGUUGCAGCGGCAGAUCAACAAGAGGGAGGCCACGCAACGAGAUGUGGAACGCGAACGCCGGCAACGAAUGGAGGCUGAAGCUCGGGUACGCGAAGCUACGGCUGAGGCUGAACGAGCACGCUCGAGAGUCCAUCAUCUUCAGAGAGAGCUGGCCAGGAUGGAAGAGUCCUCGCGGGGCCUGCUGCAACAGAAGCACCGGGCCGAACAGCUGAAGCAGGAGAAAACGGCGCUCACACUUUCCUACGAGACACGGGUGCACCAGUACCAGACGCAGAUAUCCAAGCUGCAGCUGGAGAACGAGUCGAUGCGGGGUCAGCUGCGUGGUCUGGAGGCAGCAUGUGCUGGUGAAGUGCACGCCGCGCUGGUGGCACGGCUGGCGACCCUGGAGACGGAACACGCGGCCCUGGCGAGGGACGCCGACGCCCAGCGUCGGCAAUACGAGCGGUGCCUGGACGACGUCGCCAACCAGGUGGUCCGCGCUCUCCUAUCUCAAAAGGGUCUGAGAGAGGAGAUAGGUGCGCUGCAGAGACGUAUACGAGAAUUGGAGGCUCAGAAUCGAGCGCUGUCGGGACUCCUGGCGCAAGCUGCCAGUCCUGGAAGCCCUACUGAAUUAAUUCAAGGAAUUCUCGAGGCUGGUCCGGCCGCCUUGGUAGCCGCUCUGGGCCUGGACCCAUCCUGGGUCCCUCUGUCGAGGCCGCGAUCCCUUAACUUGCAGAUACCCGUGAUGGCAGCCACCAAGUGCCGACGCAGCAGACCUUUAGCGCAAAAGCCGUCAGAAGAGGAGGGCAGCGAGAGUCCGGAGAGCGGUAAUCGGGACGAGGGCUACUCGACCAUGUCGAGCGACGUUCAAGGCGAAGGCACGCGUCAGGAGCCAUCCGCACGUGGCCUGGAGGACCUGAAAGAGGCCACCGACGAGACCGAGGCCGACGUUUCGCCGGACGCACGCCUCGUGGCCCUCGACGCCGGCGAUCCGGAUGUCCUCUUCCUACCUCUGAAUCUCACGGUCGGCAUCAAUCCGCGCCACAGCUAUCCGCCGACCAAGGACCUGCUGCCCUAUCAGCACAUAAUGCGCAGCUUCUCCGACAGUCACCUAUGCCUCAAGCUCACCACCACCACCAAUUUCACGCCGUACAAGCUGCCCAGUCCGAUGGGCUCGUCCUCCUUGCUGCUGGUGGAAGAAGAGGGUUGGGACGCCGAGUAUGUGCAACAGUGGCUCAGGCUUGACGAUAGCAGAAGCGCGCAACAACAUCGAGAUCUGCUUGAAUUGGAGUACGACAGGGCGGAGCUGGAGGAUUGGAGUUUCUCCCUGUCCACGGAGGACCUCGCGCAAAAUGAAUCCGCAAUGUGGAAGGAGCAACCGGCUGCUACAAACACGCCCGCCUUGCCUGCAAUCAAGGAGCAUAAUCUUUUGGAAUUGGAGGAGGACGCGAACGAGUGUCUAUGGAAUGGCGCAAGUUACCUUGCCGAUAGAACCGGGGGAGAACUGGUUGCGCUUUUAAUGGACGCGAGAGCGACCGGACCUUGGCCGUAUGCUUCGAGUCCCGGUGCGUCUUGGAGCAGCGAGGAGGGUGCCCUGGAGAACUCGAGCAAGCGUUCCUCGGCGGCGCUUUCCGGCUGCAGCGAUGAUCCUGACACUCCGUCGAUCGGCACCGACUUUACCAGAGAUUUUUACCGCCUGGUCAAGUUCGAAAGCACCAAGAGUCUAGCCAGCACGUCAUCCAGAAGCGGCAGACCGCCGCCGGACAGAGAACAGGCGCUUCAGAGCGUUCUAUCCUUCAUCGCCGAGCAACAGAUGUACCUCGCGGAGCUGCCAAGCAAUCCCGUGGAGCCGCACAACGCCAUGUCUCACUCAACCGAAGUUACAGAAGUGAGCGCUAGCAAAGACGAUUCUACGGGAGAGAUGAAGAUCACCGAGAUGGAAGGAUCGUUUGCUCAGGAGAGCAGUGGCAGUGUCGGCAACCCGGUCGAAACGAAUAGCAACGACGAGCUACUCGAUCAGAUACAGGUGCCACCGUUGGCGCCGGAGGAGAGGAUUGUGAGCGCCGUGCCGUGCAACGGUGGUAUCUCGUACACGACGGUAGCACCAUCGGAAUUGGGAGCCGUUCCUGAGGAAGACGAGGAGGCUGCAACCUCAUCUACGCCUAGUACAGUUGUCAGUCCGGCGCGAGCGACUCUUCUCGUGGAGGGUAGGGACCGGACACUGAGCUUCCACGAGCGCGCCACGUCCAAGGACGUUAUAGACGAGUUGAAUCGCAUGAUUCGUAAGGGCGAGGACACCGCUGUCACUAACGAAUCGCAGGUAGUGCUGGAGAAACUCGAUCUCGCUUGCUGCUGUCCGACAGGAUGGGUUCACGUUGAACGUGACAUUGACUUCACCGACCCUAAGGCCAGAGCCAAUCUCUUAGAUGUGAUGUUAGCGAGCAGCGAAAGUUCCUCAGCGACGUCGAGCAGCGGUUCGGCGGGCAGCGACUCGGGAGACGAGCCACCGGAUUACCGCCACUUGCACAGAUUACAUCGGUACCGACGACAAAAGAAAGGUACUUAUCCUCGGGUAUCUAUGCCGUAGAUACUUUCUCCACAUGGACUGCGCAUCACCACUCACCACCUUUCCGCAUAAUUCGAUCGCUAUCUUAUAAUCUCCACUAACGCUCACAUUCAUUCUCUGCUUGCUAUCAAUCAUCGACAUUCUCAUGCUUUCAUUUUGAUACUAUCUCAUUACGUGAAAUUAACUAAUUAACUAAUGAAAAUAUGGGCAAAGAAAGCUAGCUUCAAGCUUAGAGUAAGCAAAGAGUACCAUUUGAUCAACUUAAAUCGAGCGUUGGAUGUCUAUUUGCACUUCUAACUUGACUUGAACAAUAUAUAAUCGAAUAUCAUAACAUUAGCUGAAACAUUAAUCGUUUUUAUUUUUACGCAGUCAUCCAACGCUAGAGAGGAAAUAACUCGAGCUCGACACGAUGCUUUUGGAAAUUCGCGUCGGCGGCCCAGGCGCAGCGCGUCCUCCGGCUGCCGUCCACCUGGGGCUCGUCCCGGCCGUCGAUCAUCGGUCGCGGCGACGACUUCUUCGUGC
rnacentral:misc_RNA from 1 species